AUUGAACGCUGGCGGCAGGCCUAACACAUGCAAGUCGAGCGGUAGCACAGAGAGCUUGCUCUCGGGUGACGAGCGGCGGACGGGUGAGUAAUGUCUGGGAAAUUGCAUGAUGGAGGGGGAUAACUACUGGAAACGGUAGCUAAUACCGCAUACAGUCACAAGACCAAAGUGGGGGACCUUCGCGUCUCAUGCCAUCAGAUUUGCCCAGAUGGGAUUAGCUAGUAGGUGAGGUAACGGCUCACCUAGGCGACGAUCCCUAGCUGGUCUGAGAGGAUGACCAGCCACACUGGAACUGAGACACGGUCCAGACUCCUACGGGAGGCAGAAGUGGGGAAUAUUGCACAAUGGGCGCAAGCCUGAUGCAGCCAUGCCGCGUGCGUGAAGAAGGCCUUCGGGUUGUAAAGCACUUUCAGCGGGGAGGAAGGCGUUAAGGUUAAUAACCUUGGCGAUUGACGUUACCCGCAGAAGAAGCACCGGCUAACUCCGUGCCAGCAGCCGCAGUAACAC
rnacentral:rRNA from 1 species